ACACCUAUUCUCUCCCCAGUGAU
rnacentral:miRNA from 1 species